UGGGCUGGGCUGGACAGUGCUUGGACUGUGCCGGGCUGAGCUAAACUGGGCUGCGCUGGGCUGAACUGGGCUGUGCUGGGCUGUGCUGGUCUGGGCUGAGCUGGGCUGGGCUGGGCUGGGCUGGACUGGGCUGAGCUGGGCUGAACUGGGCUGGGCUGGUCUGGGCUGUGCUGGGCUGUGCUGCGCCGGUCUGGGCUGUGCUGGUCUGGGCUGAGCUGGGCUGGGCUGGGCUGGGCUGGACUGGGCUGAGCUGGGCUGAACUGGGCUGGGCUGGACUGGGCUGGUCUGGGCUGUGCUGGGCUGAACUGGGCUGUGCUGCGCUGGUCUGGGCUGUGGCUCUGCGGUCCCGGGCGAGCGGCUCCGCAGGUGGUGAGCGUAUAUGGCUCCCGGGAUCGCCCUCCCGUCCUGACCGGCUCGGCCAUGCCCCUGCCCCCGCAGCCCCUCCUCUUCCUCCUCCUCCUCCUCCUCCUGCUCCUCCUCGGGACCCUGGGCAGGGCCGGACCCAGAUCCCAGGAGGACCAUGGAGGUCAGAGAGGGGCUGGGGAAGCUCAUUACGAUCCUAAGAGACUGAAAAUCCAACAACUGAG
rnacentral:lncRNA from 1 species